UCAGUAGAAACGAAUUAAGUUCAAACAGCAGGUAAUUGCUAUAAAUCGUUAAAGAGUUCCCUCGACUAACUUUUGUCUCCAUCAUCAGACUGUAAUGGCACUUAUAACUCAUACGGGUGCAAAGUUCUCAUCAAUAGAAACGAAUUAAGUUCAAAAAGAAGGUAAUUGCUAUAAAUUGUUGAAGAGUUCCCUCGACUAUCUUU
rnacentral:misc_RNA from 1 species